rnacentral:rRNA from 1 species
UACGAAGGGGGGCUAGCGUUGCUCGGAAUCACUGGGCGUAAAGCGCACGUAGGCGGCUUUCUAAGUCAGGGGGUGAAAUCCUGGAGCUCAACUCCAGAACUGCCUUUGAUACUGGCGAGCUUGAGUUCGGGAGAGGUGAGUGGAACUGCGAGUGUAGAGGUGAAAUUCGUAGAUAUUCGCAAGAACACCAGUGGCGAAGGCGGCUCACUGGCCCGAUACUGACGCUGAGGUGCGAAAGCGUGGGGAGCAAACAGG